UGCGCAGGCGGACCUAUUAGUCAGUGGUGAAAUCCCGGGGCUCAACUCCGGAACUGCCAUUGAUACUGUAGGUCUUGAGUUUGGUUGAAGUGGGCGGAAUGUAGCAUGUAGCGGUGAAAUGCAUAGAUAUGCUACAGAACACCGAUCGCGAAGGCAGCUCACUAAACCAAAACUGGCGCUCAGGCACGAAAGCGUGGGUAGCGAACAGGAUUAGAUACCCUGGUAGUCC
rnacentral:rRNA from 1 species